rnacentral:rRNA from 1 species
AGACCUGCCCUUGACUUUGGGAUAACUUCAGGAAACUGGGGCUAAUACCGGAUAGGAGCUCCUGCUGCAUGGUGGGGGUUGGAAAGUUUCGGCGGUUGGGGAUGGACUCGCGGCUUAUCAGCUUGUUGGUGGGGUAGUGGCUUACCAAGGCUUUGACGGGUAGCCGGCCUGAGAGGGUGACCGGCCACAUUGGGACUGAGAUACGGCCCAG